CUAAUUUACUUUAUUAUGUAGGAAAUGUCACAUCGAAGAGGAAGAGUACAAAUAGUGUCUCCAGAAGAUGAGUUGGACAAUCUACAACUCUUAGACAUACAACCUGCUGCAACUACUACUCCUAGUAGUUCUAAUCCUUCCGAUUCUUCAGAUCCUUCAGUUGUUGGUUCAUCCUCUAGCAAAAAGAGGACACGUGGCCCAACACGUAACUUAGAUUUACUUAGUAUGAAACCCGGGGAAAAAAACCUACAAGAUUCAAUACCAGAGGGCAAGUUGUUUAUGAUGGAAAAGGGGAAAGAUUGUCAAGCUAUAUGGGAACAUUGGUGCGAUCUCAACACAAUGUGCCCAUCCAAGUUCAAGAUUGGAAUCAUGUUAGUGAAGAUGUGAAGGAAAAGAUUUGGGCCUUAGUAUUGGAAAAAUAUGAACUAGAAGAAACAUGUAAGAGCUACAUUCUUCAAUGUUGUGGAAAUUUUUUUAGAAGCUAUAGAAAUAAAAUGAAGGCCAAGUAUUAUAACCCUUAUAAUACAGAUGAGGAGAGAUUGUGUCAUCGACCUCCACACUUAUCAGAUGAUGAUUGGAGGUGGCUCAUCCACUUUUGGG